GUGUAGAGGGUAUUUGCUUUGUUGCUGUUCAUACUAAUGAACCAACAAGGAAAAGAGCUCCAUUCAGCAAAAAUGGCAUGCUCCCAAGCUAUGAAAUGUACAUUAAUUCCUAAAGCUAUUCCAAAUUCUUGUUGCAUCCAGAAAUUCCUGCUGGUCCACAGCCCCUUUUUGUGCUGGACCUCUGAACUCAUUACUCACUGAUCUACUUUUUAUUUUUAACCUCGAAGGUUACAUAAUAGGACACUUUUGCUCAAAAUUAGUCGUCUAAAUCUCAUUGCUUCAUGUCACAGGGAUCUAAAAGUUUCAGUCAUACAUUACUUCAACACCUUGCCCUUAAAGAUUCAACCAGAAGAAAUCUCUCAAUUAAACAAAGAAGAAUGUUUAUGUUCAAAAGUGUAGAACAAAAACAACUCUUCAUCAAAUUACUAUCACAAUAGAUUACAUCAGAAUGAAUUCACUUUCAAAGUGGAAGACCUCGGGAGCCUACACACUUAUUCCAAGGAUGCUAUUAUUUCUCUCAAGGCAUUUUGCAUUUCCUCUUUUUGGAAUGGCCUUUAACAUAGACACAGCAUUGGCCUGAAUAUUCUCAACCAAAAAUUUCAGGUCACAUUUGGAGCCAAACCAGCUUUCUUUCAGAGCCUCAAACACUAAGCUAAUGCUGGCAAUGUGUGUAGUAACCUAAUCAUCUAUGUGGACAUCUCUGGGAAGCUGAUCAUUGUCCUUCAUUCUCAAAGAGGACCAAAAUGAUAUCACUAUGUUGGAGUCAAGGUAUAGAGUGUCUGAUUGUGACUGAUCACAGUAAUGUGAAGUAAUAUGAAUAUGAAGAGAUGGAGAAGGAAUAUGAACAAGUCAAAAAAGGACAGGAAUGUGAACUGAUUCAAAAUGAAAUUAUCUGGGAAAUGAAAAAAGUAAGCCCAUUUUC